rnacentral:tRNA from 1 species
GGGGGCGUGGCGGAACUGGCAAACGUCGGGGAUUUAAAAUCCUCUGUCCGCAAGGACUUGCAGGUUCGAAUCCUGCCGCCCCUACCA